rnacentral:sRNA from 1 species
UUGCACAUGGGUUAGUCGAUC